AUGGAUAUUGGUUAUGUGUUGAAAAUAAUUAUCUAUUCACAGAACCAAAACAUUGAGAUGAGGCGUGAAGCUGUUAUCCGGAGCCUCAUACUGUACCUUGGCGAGAAAGAAGAGGAACUGUUUGAAGAUUGCCAGGAGGACAACCACAGUGACACAGCGCAACACACCCUCAAGAUUCUGGUUGUACAUGGAGCUGAUGGAAAGGAUCCAGUGGAUGUAUCCAUUAUUCUUGAAGGCAAGGAGAUAUUGCCGGGAUGCCAAAAUACUGCUAAAGCUUGUGCCCUGCUUAUGGGACUCAUUUAUGCCCUCAACCUUGCAUACACUUUUUUAAAAUUUAACAGAAUUCGUAAAAGCACUACUCAUUAUCAGUAGGAUGCAGUCUCUUUUAAGAAAUUAUUUUUGACAUUAUUUAGCAAAAUUGCUUUAUAUAGAAAUAUUGACAUCUUUAACUGUUAAACAAAAUGUUUUUAUGCAUUUAAUGUUGUAAUGUUUAGAGCACAAGUACAGAGUGCUAUGUUGAAUGUUGAAACUGCACUGUUUGAGAGGAUUGUUACUUUUAUUGAAAUAGUAAAUGUUGUAUCCAUGCAUUAUAUCCAUGAGGUUUAAACCUCAUCCCAUGUUUUUGUAUACCUCUUGGGGUUAAAACACUUUAUGAUCUUGACAAAUUAAAUUGUUUUCAGGACUCAAAUCCCUAAGGAAACAGUUGUUAUUUAAAAAACUUAGGUUUUGCUUUAUGUAACUUCAAAAGGUUACAUUUUGACUGAGUCAUUGUUUAAUGUUGGAACAAAAUAAAUGUUUAUUGCAUC
ensembl:lncRNA